UACGUAGGGGGCAAGCGUUGUCCGGAUUCAUUGGGCGUAAAGAGCGUGUAGGCGGCCUGAUAAGUCGGCUGUGAAAGUCAAGGGCUCAACCCUUGAAUGCCGGCCGAUACUGUCAGGCUAGAGUCCGGAAGAGGCGAGUGGAAUUCCUGGUGUAGCGGUGAAAUGCGCAGAUAUCAGGAGGAACACCUAUGGCGAAGGCAGCUCGCUGGGACGGUACUGACGCUGAGACGCGAAAGCGUGGGGAGCGAACAGG
rnacentral:rRNA from 1 species